CAAACACCCCGCCGGCUGAAAAGGGAAUUCUCUCACCUUGUCGGCUGACCGGUUGUUUGGU
rnacentral:pre_miRNA from 3 species